rnacentral:rRNA from 1 species
UACGGGGGGAGCAAGCGUUGUUCGGAUUUACUGGGCGUAAAGGGCGCGUAGGCGGUCAGCACAAGUCAGUUGUGAAAUCUCCGGGCUUAACUCGGAAAGGUCAACUGAUACUGUGCGACUAGAGUGCAGAAGGGGCAACUGGAAUUCUCGGUGUAGCGGUGAAAUGCGUAGAUAUCGAGAGGAACACCAGUGGCGAAGGCGACUACCUGGCCUGUUCUUGACGCUGAGGCGCGAAAGCUAGGGGAGCAAACGGG